AUUGAACGCUGGCGGCAGGCUUAACACAUGCAAGUCGAGCGGAGAGAGGUAGCUUGCUACUGAUCUUAGCGGCGGACGGGUGAGUAAUGCUUAGGAAUCUGCCUAUUAGUGGGGAACAACAUUUCGAAAGGAAUGCUAAUACCGCAUACGUCCUACGGGAGAAAGCAGGGGAUCUUCGGACCUUGCGCUGAUAGAUGAGCCUAAGUCGGAUUAGCUAGUUGGUGGGGUAAAGGCCUACCAAGGCGACGAUCUGUAGCGGGUCUGAGAGGAUGAUCCGCCACACUGGGACUGAGACACGGCCCAGACUCCUACGGGAGGCAGCAGUGGGGAAUAUUGGACAAUGGGCGCAAGCCUGAUCCAGCCAUGCCGCGUGUGUGAAGAAGGCCUUAUGGUUGUAAAGCACUUUAAGCGAGGAGGAGGCUACUUUAGUUAAUACCUAGAGAUAGUGGACGUUACUCGCAGAAUAAGCACCGGCUAACUACGUGCCAGCAGCCGCCGUAACAC
rnacentral:rRNA from 1 species